rnacentral:misc_RNA from 1 species
CGCCAGCCUUGGGGACUGGAGGCCUAUCUCGCGCACGACCACAUUCUGGCGAGUUCGCGAAAGUCGGCGUUGGGAUAUGAGGAUCAGGCGUUGCAGGAGAUUGGCCGGAAACGCCGCAUUCGUGUUCGGUGUCAGGGCCAAUGGACCGCGAGCCGGCUUGUGGCGUCUUCUGACAUGCUGUUCACGCUGCCGGAGCGGUUUGCCGAAUCUGUUGGGCGUCAGCUCGGAAACCAGAUUUUACCGUUUCCGCUGGAUGUUCCCUCAGCUCACCUGUUUCUCUAUUGGCAUUCAAGCAC